rnacentral:rRNA from 1 species
AUUGAACGCUGGCGGAAUGCUUUACACAUGCAAGUCGAACGGCAGCACGGACUUCGGUCUGGUGGCGAGUGGCGAACGGGUGAGUAAUGUAUCGGAACGUGCCCAGUCGUGGGGGAUAACGUAGUGAAAAUUACGCUAAUACCGCAUACGAUCUAUGGAUGAAAGCGGGGGAUCGCAAGACCUCGCGCGAUUGGAGCGGCCGAUAUCAGAUUAGGUAGUUGGUGGGGUAAAGGCCCACCAAGCCAACGAUCUGUAGCUGGUCUGAGAGGACGACCAGCCACACUGGAACUGAGACACGGUCCAGACUCCUACGGGAGGCAGAAGUGGGGAAUUUUGGACAAUGGGCGAAAGCCUGAGCCAACCAUUCCGCGUGCAGGAUGAAGGCCCUCGGGUUGUAAACUGCUUUUGUACAGAACGAAAAGGUUUCUACUAAUACUAGGAGCUCAUGACGGUACUGUAAGAAUAAGCACCGGCUAACUACGUGCCAGCAGCCGCCGUAA